GAAGCUAUAGCCAGCAGACAGUUAGCUUAGCGCAGACUGGAAACAGGGACAUAGCUAGCGUGGCUGUGCCCGAAGGACGACUGAAGAAAGAUAAACUGGACACACUGGUGGGAUAGUGCCCAGCCAGCUGCCCUGAUAAUGAAAAACUCACUGAGCGGCAUCUGGUGGAUGAAGCGGAAGUGACACUCCAUCAUCUGGGUCCUGGCUAGUG